GUUCUACAGAAUUCCGACAGGAUCUGACCGUCAGAGCAUCCGGAGGCGUCUGUGGCUGCAGGCUAUCAGACCAGUCGACUGGACCGACCAUCAGCAAUGCUCGCCUUUGCAGCUCCCACUUCAUAUCCGGUGAGGCGUCAGUGAACUCCAGUAGUCCGGAUUUUGUUCCCUCUGUGUUUGUUUACAAGAGACAAAGCCAGAAACCCGAGGCAAAGAUGGAAAGGCAUCAGAGGAAAAAAGGAGAGAUGACAUGAUCAAAAUCCGUACAAACAAAGCUGCUCAUUCUGAAGCUGACACCAUUCUCUGUCCUGAACAAGGACACAACACAGAUCAUUGUUACGAGAUGGGAGGUCAGGCUUCAUCUGUGGCAGAGGGUGUCCAUGUUGUCGUCGUUGGUGGUGGAUUCAGCGGGAUCACCAUGGCUCAGCAGCUGAAAUCACAAGGAUUCACAUUCACCCUUAUCGACAUGAAGACGCUUUCCCCCACAACGUGGCAGCACUCAGAGUCUGUAAAACCUGGUAAAUUCAACUCUGUUUUUUUUUUAUUCCAUUGGUUUUUACAUAAAUCUCUCCAAUUAGUGCUUAUUACACAGUGGUGUGAUUUUUUUUUAAUUUUCUGUAAAUGUUGAAUUUAUCUUUCAGACCUUUUUCUACUACUACUUCUUAGUUUUCUUGUUAUAUUUCUGUCCUUAUUUGAACAUUAUAAACAUUUCUUUAGUGAUAUUAUUUCUUUGGAUGUUAUUUUAUUUUUGCCUGUUUCUGUCUUAAUGCUUUUUUGCUUUCUAAGAAUUAUGUGGCUGACGUUUGUAAUAUUUUGUCUUUUUUGUAAUCUCUUUUGGCUAUACACCGCUUUCCACAUUAUUAAGCAAAUGACAUUUUUCUCUUAUUUUCCUAAAUAAAAUAAAAAUAUUAAUGUGAAUGACAGUCAGAGUAUUUUUCAAGCCAUCAGCCGUUAGAGCAUUCACAUGCAGGAAUCACAUGCAGGAAAGGAGCCCCAGGUCAGACCCACUUCAAGGACAAUAGCUUUCCUAUAGAGUUCUUGAACCAAGUACUAACCCACAGGUGCCCAGAUUUUUAUCUUUUUUCUCUGAUAAAAGAUCUCAUACAUCUUUUUUACUUGUCCCCAUAAUAAAAACAUAAAAAGCUUAUCUGUGAAUGCCCCUGAGGAUGUACAUUGUUUGUUGUAAGCUUAUGAGUGUAUAACCAACAAUGUGGUCUUUAAGUGAGACUUCAUCUUAGCAAAGAAUCAGACAAAACAAGGAUGAAAACAUCUGUAAGGCUGAAGUGUGUAGCGAUACUGCAUAUUUUGAAAAUCAUUUUUAAAUAAACUUUAGUUUUGCCAGAAAUACAAAAAAGAAAGAGUUUUCCUUUGUUUUAAACUUGAAGAUGUUCAGUGUAUGGAUUCAUUCCAUAAACAUUAGUCCUGAUUAUUCUGGUGGUUUUUAUGCUCUGCUCUACCAAGAGUUGAUAUUCGUGUUAUGUCCAGAGCUGUUCAUGUUUCC